UACGGGGGGUGCGAGCGUUAAUCGGAAUAACUGGGCGUAAAGGGCACGCAGGCGGACUUUUAAGUGAGGGGUGAAAUCCCCGGGCUUAACCUGGGAAUUGCAUUUCAUACUGGGAGUCUAGAGUACUUUAGGGAGGGGUAGAAUUCCACGUGUAGCGGUGAAAUGCGUAGAGAUGUGGAGGAAUACCGAAGGCGAAGGCAGCCCCUUGGGAAUAUAAUGACGCUCAUGUAAGAAAGCGUGGGGAGCAAACAGG
rnacentral:rRNA from 1 species